UACGUAGGGGGGCAAGCGUUGUCCGGAUUUACUGGGCGUAAAGCGCGUGUAGGCGGCUUUGCAAGUCGGAUGUGAAAGCCCACGGCUCAACCGUGGAAGUGCAUCCGAAACUGUAUCGCUGGAGUCCCGGAGAGGAAGGUGGAAUGCUUGGUGUAGAGGUGAAAUUCGUAGAUAUCAAGCAGAACACCUGCGGCGAAGGCGGCCUUCUGGACGGUGACUGACGGCUGAGACGCGAA
rnacentral:rRNA from 1 species